UACGGAGGGUGCAAGCGUUGUCCGGAUUUACUGGGCGUAAAGGAUGCGUAGGCGGACAUUUAAGUCAGAUGUGAAAUACCCGAGCUUAACUUGGGUGCUGCAUUUGAAACUGGGUGUCUAGAGUGCAGGAGAGGUAAGUGGAAUUCCUAGUGUAGCGGUGAAAUGCGUAGAGAUUAGGAAGAAUACCAGUGGCGAAGGCGACUUUCUGGACUGUAACUGACACUGAGGCUCGAAAGCGUGGGGAGCAAACAGG
rnacentral:rRNA from 1 species